UCAUCAGAGCAAAGCCACAAGUCUACAGAAACCCCAGAGAGCACACGGUGGUGGCCAGUGAGCUGGGCUGUCAAAUCCCUCAGCUCCACACUCAGUUCACUGCACUCCACUUCUGGAGGUGUUCAGUGAGGAUGGACUACAAAUCUGAAGGGAUUUUUGUUACAUCACAAUGGCCAGUUUCAACAACAGUAGAACUUGAUCCCAUCACAAACCUGCUAUUUGCAAUUUGUGAAAGUAUUUGUUGUCUGUUUUCAUGUUCAACAUCUUGCCAACUGAGUUGGCCAAAAUAGUCAUGGCUCAUGAAUAUUCCAGUAAUACUCUCUGAAUGCCUGUUAUGAACUAAUUUGAUUGUGGGAGAAACAUCUGUUCAGUUUUGGAUGCCCUUACUCAAGAAAGUAGGACCAGGCAAGACUUUCUUGCAGAAGUAACAUAGGCAGGCUAGCAGAUCUACUGUUCUGGCUUAACAGGAAAUCAACAGAGAGACGAAAGUCAGAGCCUCUCUCUAAGAGGAUGGUCACGACAUGGACAUUUAUAUCCCAGGAACAUUGUCUCAACAACACCUGGAGGAGCACAGGAUGAUGCAAGGAUGAUGUUACCUGUGACUUGCCCAGGUACAAAAUUAGUAAUAAACAGCAGAG